rnacentral:tRNA from 1 species
GUCCCCAUCGUCUAGAGGCCUAGGACACAGCCCUUUCAAGGCUGUGACACGGGUUCGAAUCCCGUUGGGGGCACCA